UACGAAGGGUGCAAGCGUUACUCGGAAUUACUGGGCGUAAAGCGUGCGUAGGUGGUGAGUUAAGUCUGAUGUGAAAUCCCCGGGCUCAACCUGGGAAUGGCAUUGGAUACUGGCUCGCUCGAGUGCGGUAGAGGGUGGUGGAAUUCCCGGUGUAGCAGUGAAAUGCGUAGAGAUCGGGAGGAACAUCUGUGGCGAAGGCGGCCACCUGGACCAGCACUGACACUGAGGAGCGAAAGCGUGGGGAGCGAACAGG
rnacentral:rRNA from 1 species